UACGUAGGGUGCAAGCGUUGUCCGGAAUUAUUGGGCGUAAAGAGCUCGUAGGCGGUCUGUCGCGUCGGCUGUGAAAACCUGGGGCUUAACUCCGGGCUUGCAGCCGAUACGGGCAGACUAGAGUUCGGCAGGGGAGACUGGAAUUCCUGGUGUAGCGGUGAAAUGCGCAGAUAUCAGGAGGAACACCGGUGGCGAAGGCGGGUCUCUGGGCCGAAACUGGACGCUGAGGAGCGAAAGCGUGGGGAGCAAACAGG
rnacentral:rRNA from 1 species